AUAUUCUUCGACCCGACUUGUGGCAAGAACUAAAUAGUUGGUGAACUCACUAUGUGUAGUUCGUUAACUCGCUACACGGUUCUUGUCACAAGACCGAGUCUGAAUAU
rfam:Oryza glaberrima chromosome 5 Oglab05_0008_38, whole genome shotgun sequence.